GACGAACGCUGGCGGCGUGCCUAAUUACAUGCAAGUUGAGCGCUGAAGGUUGGUACUUGUACCAACUGGAUGAGCAGCGAACGGGUGAGUAACGCGUGGGGAAUCUGCCUUUGAGCGGGGGACAACAUUUGGAAACGAAUGCUAAUACCGCAUAAAAACUUUAAACACAAGUUUUAAGUUUGAAAGAUGCAAUUGCAUCACUCAAAGAUGAUCCCGCGUUGUAUUAGCUAGUUGGUGAGGUAAAGGCUCACCAAGGCGAUGAUACAUAGCCGACCUGAGAGGGUGAUCGGCCACAUUGGGACUGAGACACGGCCCAAACUCCUACGGGAGGCAGCAGUAGGGAAUCUUCGGCAAUGGACGAAAGUCUGACCCGAGCAAACGCCGCGUGAGUGAAGAAAGGUUUUUCGGAUUCGUAAAAACUCU
rnacentral:rRNA from 1 species